rnacentral:rRNA from 1 species
CAGUCGCCGCGGGAAUACGGAGGGGGCUAGCGUUGCUCGGAAUUACUGGCGUAAAGCGCACGUAGGCGGCUUGGUAAGUUAGAGGUGAGAGCCCGGAGCUCAACUCCGGAAUUGCCUUUAAGACUGCCGAGCUAGUAGGUGAGAGAGGUAAGUGGAAUUCCGAGUGUAGAGGUGAAAUUCGUAGAUAUUCGGAAGAACACCAGUGGCGAAGGCGGCUUACUGGCUCAUUCUAGACGCUGAGGUGCGAAAGCGUGGGGAGCAAACAGGAUUAGAUACCCCGGUAGUCCCUGUCUCUUAUACA